rnacentral:rRNA from 1 species
UUGCAGUUAAAAAGCUCGUAGUUGAAUUUCUGGUCAAUCGUAGUCUUGGCUUCGGUCGGGCUAUGGUUGGUCAUCCGUUUGCAAGCUGCACUCGGCCUUCACUGGUUCGGUGUAGUGAGCUGACAUUUUACUUUGAAAAGAUUAGAGUGUUUCAGGCAGGCUUUUGCCCGAAUACAUUAGCAUGGAAUAAUGGAAUUGGACUUAGGUUCAUUUGGUUGGUUAUUGGAUCUGAGUAAUGGUUAAUAGGGACAGUUGGGGGCAUUAGUAUUUAAUUGUCAGAGGUGAAAUUCUUGGAUUUAUUAAAGACUAACUUAUGCGAAAGCAUUUGCCAAGGAUGUUUUCAUUAAUCAAGAACGAAAGUUAGGGGAUAAAAGACGAUCAGAUACCGUUGUAUUCUUAACUAUAAACUAUACCGACUCGGAAUUAGUAGGGUAUUUUAGCUCUAUUAGCAUCGUAGGAGAAAUCAAAGUCUUUGGGUUCUGGGGGGAGUAUAGUCNCAAGGCUGAAACUU